rnacentral:misc_RNA from 1 species
CCUGUUCGAGCGUCAUUAUAACCACUCAAGCUUCGGCUUGGUAUUGGGGUUCCGCGGUCUCGCGGCCCUUAAAAUCAGUGGCGGUGCAUCUGGCUCUAAGCGUAGUAAUUCUCUCGCUAUAGGGUCCAGGUGGUUGCUUGCCAAAACCCCCCACUUCUAUGGUUGACCUCGGAUCAGGUAGGGAUACCCGCUGAACUUAA